CCCCACGCCCCGCGGGCCCGCGUGCUCGUGCCCCGCGCCGCUGCACCUGCAGCCCGACGGGUUCUCGUGCGCGCCCCACCACCCCUGCGCAGGCUGGGGGGUGUGCAGUCAGACGUGUCAGCCCCACAAGGACCGCUACAGAUGUACCUGCUACGAGGGCUACCGGCUCGCUGACGACGGCUUCACCUGCAAGAGCACAGACCCGGCGCGGCCGCUGCUGGUGUUCAGCAACCGGCACGAGCUGCGCGGCGUGGAGCUGCCGUCGCUGUCGUCGCGCGCGCUGGUGUCGUCGCUCAAGAACACCGUGGCGCUGGACUGGUGCGGCUCGCGCGGAGUGGUGCAGCUGUACUGGACCGACGUGCUGGACGACAACAUCUACCGCGGCACGCUCACGGGCGACGUGGUGACCGGUAUAGAAGUAGUGGUCCAGCAGGGUCUGUCCACGGCCGAGGGCUUGGCCGUCGACUGGGUCGGCGAAAACCUGUACUGGGUGGAGAGCAGUCUGCACCAGAUCGAGGUAGCGCGCCUAGACGGUAAAUACCGCCGAACGCUCAUCGCCGGCGACAUGGACAGCCCGAGAGCCAUAGCCGUCGACCCUAGCGUCGGCUACCUGUUCUGGACGGACUGGGAGGCGGCGGCGCCGCGCAUCGAGCGCGCGUCGCUGGCGGGGCG
rnacentral:misc_RNA from 1 species